UACGUAGGGAGCAAGCGUUGUCCGGAAUCAUUGGGCGUAAAGCGCGCGUAGGCGGCCCGGUCAGUCCGUCGUGAAAGUCAAAGGCUCAACCUUUGAAUGUCGAUGGAUACUGCCGGGCUAGAGUCCGGAAGAGGCGAGUGGAAUUCCUGGUGUAGCGGUGGAAUGCGCAGAUAUCAGGAGGAACACCAAUAGCGAAGGCAGCUCGCUGGGACGGUACUGACGCUAAGGCGCGAAAGCGUGGGGAGCGAACAGG
rnacentral:rRNA from 1 species